UACGUAGGCAGCGAGCGUUGUUCGGAAUUACUGGGCGUAAAGCGCGCGUAGGCGGCUUUUGCAAGUCGGGUGUGAAAUCCCCAGGCUUAACCUGGGAACUGCAUUCGAGACUGCAUUGCUAGAGUAUGGGAGAGGGAAGUGGAAUUUCCGGUGUAGCGGUGAAAUGCGUAGAUAUCGGAAGGAACAUCAGUGGCGAAAGCGACUUCCUGGACCAAUACUGACGCUCAUGUGCGAAAGCGUGGGAGC
rnacentral:rRNA from 1 species